CGAGAGGCACACCAACACCGGCAGAUGAGUCUCCGUUUAAUACUUGGGAUAUUAUAACAGUAAGUUAUAGCUCCAGAAGUCAGUCACCAGCAGCAGAUGUCACACAGUUAUAAAAUGGGAAACUUGAAGAAUAAGCUCCAGAAGUCAGCAGCAGCAGACAUCACACAGCCAUAAUGCGAGAAGCUUGAAGAAUAAUGUGGUAGUGGUUUGGAUACAUAUGACAUAUUUCACCUUCAGUUUAAAAUUGAAGUUUGUUUAUAU